AUUGAACGCUGGCGGCAGGCCUAACACAUGCAAGUCGAGCGAGCGGCGGACGGGUGAGUAAUGUCUGGGAAACUGCCUGAUGGAGGGGGAUAACUACUGGAACCGGUAGCUACUAACGCAUACCAUCAGAUGUGUCCCGAUGGCAUUGGCUAGUAGGUGUGGUAACGGCUCACCUAGGCGACGCUCCCUCCCUGGUCUGAGAGGAUGACCAGCAAAACUGGAACUGGGCCACGGUCCAGACUCCUACGUGAGGGAGCAGUGGGGAAUAUUGCACAAUGGGCGAAAGCCGGAUGCAGCCAUGCCGCGGGUUGGAAGAAGGCUGUCGGGUUGUAAAGCACUGUCAGCGGGGAGGCGUUACCCGCAGAAGAAGCACCGGCUAACUCCGUGCCAGCAGCCGCGGUAAUAC
rnacentral:rRNA from 1 species